GGACAUGAGGACACUCUGGCUUCAACUGUCACUCCUUUGAUCCCCAGGGCUGAUUUGGCUGAUCUAAUUGGCUAGAUGAGAACCCCUUUCUUCCCUCAUCACUCCAUGUUCAUCACACCUAACACUGUACCCUCAGUCAAAGAAUUGAUAAACUUCCCAGAUGGCAGAGGACCACUCCACCAAGGGUGUAAGGUUUAGCUAUGCUCUCUUGCUAGAACCUCUAAAUAUGUUCUCAAAGAUGACAGAAAGAAAACAAAAGGAAUAACUAAGUGAUAAAAGUGCAACUUAAGAUAAUUUCAGU
rnacentral:snRNA from 1 species